GCGAAAUGUCAGUUUGAAAAUAAUUUUUAAGUGUGACAGUAGUGAAUUCAUAGUCAAGAGCGAAUCACCCGACGAUCUUCGAAACAACAACGAAAUACAAAGCCAAAUAGCCAGUACAUACACAMAAAUCCUGAGCAGAAAACAGUGAAGAGUUCACAAACUUGUUAGUAAAAAAAGUCUAAUAACUCUAAAACAAUAAAGAAAAUAUAAAAAACCCGAAUCCAUACGCGAUGGCCACCGUUCAACGUAAAUUGGUUCAUAAACAAUUCAACUCCCCCAUGGGACUUUAUUCGCAGCAAAAUGUCAAGGAAACAUUGGAUCGUGAGCUGAAGGCUUUCGGCGCUGAUGGG